UAGCUCAGUUGGUAAAGAAUCUGCCUGCAAUUCAGGAGACCCAGGUUCAAUUCCUGG
rfam:Ovis aries breed Texel chromosome 1, whole genome shotgun sequence.